AACCUACAGCAGAAUUUGACAAAUGUGUAAGAACUAAAAUACAGUAUAGCUCCGGUCGUCAUCCCAUGAUCAUAGUCACAUCAGCAAAUAGCAUUAGAUUAAAUAUAUAUCCUCGUGGGAAGGACCUAAUUAUACAUGGACUCUAAAUAAUUCACUGUUUCCAUAAGAUGUGCUUGCAUGUUGUGAGAAACAGUAUAUCUGAUAGGACCACACAAUAAUGCAUAUGAGAGAAAAGAGGGUACCGCUAACAACAUUCGUAGUGUCAUUUAAAAUGAUGUAAUCAAGCAUGAACGGGAAGAUAUAGCCACGAUAUAAUAAUUUGCGACUUAAGAGUACAGCAUUGUGCAAUCCUAUAUAAUCAAUCACAGAAAAGUCAGAUGCUUGUCCCAUACACUCAAUAUAAAUAAAUUUUGUUUCUUAACAGGGGAACCGCCACAAAUUUGCAAUGGUUUACACGAUAGAGAAUAUGAAACCAUAGGCAGUUACCUGAAGCUUCAUGCAGUAUUGAUGUGAUAAAAGUCCCUCUUUUUUGUCUCUACUCUUUGAGAGAAAAAAGAGAGAAGAAAAGGAGAUGAAAAAAAUGAAGGCUGUAGAAAGUUACCUUGGAGGAAAACACAUUAUAUGUUCGGUCAGUCACUUCGUAAGCCAUCAUAACUAACCCCUUCAGAUAUAGUGUCUAGUUUCCUAGUGUCGUCUAAACAAGUGUAAGAAAAAUAUAGAAAUCUCAAUUCAACAUGGAAAAAUUCAAUAAAUAUGGCAAAGAGACAGAUAAAAGAACAGCAAAGUAAUACCUUUAAAUUCUGUUGCUGGAGAGUCCAGAAAGUUAUUUGAAUCAGGUGGAAGAUAAGGAGAUUUAUCAUAAUUCUCUAGUAUAUCUUUGAACAAAAGAAUACAACAUUAAUAUAUACCUUUAGAAAAACAAAGCAC
rnacentral:lncRNA from 1 species